rnacentral:rRNA from 1 species
ACUACGGGUGGCAGCAGUAGGGAAUUUUGCGCAAUGGGCGAAAGCCUGACGCAGCAACGCCGCGUGAUUGAUUAAGCCCUUCGGGGUGUAAAGAUCUGUCUGUGGGGACGAAACUUGACGGUACCCACAGAGGAAGCACCGGCUAACUCCGUGCCAGACGCCGCGGUAAUACGGGGGGUGCAAGCGUUGUCCGGAAUCAUUGGGCGUAAAGCGUGCGUAGGUGGCAUAUUAAGUCUGGUGUUAAAUGCAGAAGCUCAACUUUUGUUCGGCAUUGGAUACUGGUAAGCUUGAAUGCGGUCGAGGUAAAGGGAAGUCCUGGGGUAGCGGUGAAAUGCGUAGAUAUCAGGAGGAACAUCGGUGGCGUAAGCGCUUUACUGGGCCGUAAUUGACACUGAGGAACGAAAGCCGGGGUAGCAAAUGGGAUUAGAUACCCCUGUAGUC